GAGGAGAGUAUCCUAAGGCCAGCGAGAGAACUGUUGUUAAGGAACUCGGCAAAAUGACCCCGUAACUUAGGGAUAAGGGGUGCCACCAUCAGGUGGCCGCAGAGAAUAGGCCCAAGCGACUGUUUACCAAAAACAUAGGUUUCUGCUAAGUCGCAAGACGAUGUAUAGGAGCUGACGCCUGCCCGGUGCUGGAAGGUUAAGGGGAUCUGUUAGAGUAAUCGAAGCAGUGAACUUAAGCCCCAGUAAACGGCGGCCGUAACUAUAACGGUCCUAAGGUAGCGAAAUUCCUUGUCGGGUAAGUUCCGACCCGCACGAAAGGCGUAACGAUUUGGGCACUGUCUCAACAACAGACUCGGUGAAAUUGUAAUUCCGGUGAAGAUGCCGGAUACCUGCGACAGGACGGAAAGACCCCAUGGAGCUUUACUGUAGCUUGACAUUGGGUCUUGGUACUACAUGUACAGGAUAGGUGGGAGGCUUUGAAACCAGGACGCCAGUUUUGGCGGAGCCAUCCUUGGGAUACCACCCUUGUAGUACUGGGACUCUAACCAUAGGCCAUGAAUCUGGUCUUGGGACACUGUCAGGUGGGCAGUUUGACUGGGGCGGUCGCCUCCCAAAAGGUAACGGAGGCGCUCAAAGGUUCUCUCAGUACGGUCGGAAAUCGUACGUAGAGUGUAAAGGCAAAAGAGAGCUUGAUUGCAAGACAUACAGGUCGAGCAAGGAUGAAAAUCGGACUUAGUGAUCCGGUGGUUCUGCGUGGAAGGGCCAUCGCUCAACGGAUAAAAGCUACCCUGGGGAUAACAGGCUUAUCUCCCCCAAGAGUCCACAUCGACGGGGAGGUUUGGCACCUCGAUGUCGGCUCAUCACAUCCUGGGGCUGUAGUAGGUCCCAAGGGUUGGGCUGUUCGCCCAUUAAAGUGGUACGCGAGCUGGGUUCAGAACGUCGUGAGACAGUUCGGUCCCUAUCCGUCGCAGGCGUAGGAAAUUUGAGAAGACCUGUCCUUAGUACGAGAGGACCGGGAUGGACG
rnacentral:rRNA from 1 species